CAUCUCAGGAUAUUCCAUGAUUCCAUGAAAAUGUUUUAUUUGGAGACAAUAGAUGGCACUCUGUAGCUACCCUGGAAAAAGGAAGAGUCGGACAUCCAGCGUUUCUGAAUUGCAUGUUUCUGCCUCCAGCUUUAACUACUUAUCCCAUUUGCAAUUUCUUCUGUGAUAAACAGGGCUGAAGGAGGUGCAUGAUUUACAUGUCAAAAAUCAAAAUAAAUCCUGAAAACUGCAUCUCUGUUCCACUUGCUAUACCCAACAUAGGCAACUCUACACUAGAAAGAGAGAAAAGGAAAAGAAAUCCAAAAGGAGGGUGUUUAAGCACUGAGUCUGGUUGUCUGGAAUUUGUGCCAUCUCCACAUCUGGUGAUAGUCACAGCCUCACUGGGCAAGACCCUCAGCAAUCUGAUCUACCUUGAAAUUGGCCCUGUUCUGAGGAAGAUGGCUGGAUGACGAGGACCUUAUUUAUAAAAUUAUCUUCCAGAUGACAGCCCUUAAGCCGUAUGUACCUUUACUGUAGGAAUUUCAUUAUUCAGUCUAAUUUUCAAUGAAUAAUUACCAUAGUCGUCUUACAUAUUUU